rnacentral:lncRNA from 1 species
CAAGUUGAGUUCCAUUUUAGAGACACCGCCUAAGGCUAUUGCAAAACAUUCCAAUUUGCAAAUGACUAAAAUUUGCAUGUAUGCAGAAAGAAAGAAAAUAUAUUGAAAACUCGAAACCCUCCAUUAAAUUUGGGAAAUAGGAGUAUUUGUGCAGUCAGGCGUGUAAAAACAAGCCCACCCGACCCGAAAUCAACCGGACUCAAGCAACCCAUGCCAGUGUCCAUCAAGCUCCCAUCAAUAAUUGGGUCGGUCAGGGGGGUCAGAUGGCCUUUGGGCGGGUUUCGACAAGUAAUGGGCGGGCUUCAGGCUAAGGAUGAUUAGGCCCAAGCCCGGCUCAUGUAAUUUGGGUGGGCUCAAGCUCGGGCCGGCUUCCGGGUGACAGCAGCGGUUGGUGGUCCUCAAGCUUUUUUUACACCCCUAUGUACAGUAGAUAGUAGUAACUACUGCGUCGUGAAAGUUAAAUUCAGACGCAAAUGAAUUUAACUUAAUUACCGAAUAAGACAC